rnacentral:rRNA from 1 species
UGGCCGUAAACGAUGUGGACUUGGUGUUGGAAUGGCUCCGAGCUGCUCCAGUGCCGAAGGGAAGCUGUUAAGUCCACCGCCUGGGAAGUACGGUCGCAAGACUGAAACUUAAAGGAAUUGGCGGGGAGCACCACAACGCGUGGAGCCUGCGGUUUAAUUUGGAUUCAACGCCGGACAUCUCACCAGGGGCGGACAGCAGAAUGAUGGCCAGGUUGAUGACCUUGCUUGACAAGCUGAGAGGAGGUGCAUGGCGUGUGACUGU